UAGUGGCGAACGGGUGAGUAACACGUGGGCAAUCUGCCCUUCACUCUGGGACAAGCCCUGGAAACGGGGUCUAAUACCGGAUAAUACUUUCUCCUGCAUGGGAGGGGGUUGAAAGCUCCGGCGGUGAAGGAUGAGCCCGCGGCCUAUCAGCUUGUUGGUGGGGUGAUGGCCUACCAAGGCGACGACGGGUAGCCGGCCUGAGAGGGCGACCGGCCACACUGGGACUGAGACACGGCCCAGACUCCUACGGGAGGCAGCAGUGGGGAAUAUUGCACAAUGGGCGGAAGCCUGAUGCAGCGACGCCGCGUGAGGGAUGACGGCCUUCGGGUUGUAAACCUCUUUCAGCAGGGAAGAAGCGCAAGUGACGGUACCUGCAGAAGAAGCGCCGGCUAACUACGUGCCAGCAGCCGCGGUAAUACGUAGGGCGCAAGCGUUGUCCGGAAUUAUUGGGCGUAAAGAGCUCGUAGGCGGCUUGUCGCGUCGGAUGUGAAAGCCCGGGGCUUAACUCCGGGUCUGCAUUCGAUACGGGCAGGCUAGAGUGUGGUAGGGGAGAUCGGAAUUCCU
rnacentral:rRNA from 4 species